rnacentral:rRNA from 1 species
CAGUAGCCGCGGGAAUACGAAGGGGGCUAGCGUUGCUCGGAAUGACUGGGCGUAAAGGGCGCGUAGGCGGAUUGUUUAGUUAGGCGUGAAAUUCCUGGGCUUAACCUGGGGACUGCGCUUAAUACAGGCAGUCUAGAGUGAGGAAGAGGGUUGUGGAAUUCCCAGUGUAGAGGUGAAAUUCGUAGAUAUUGGGAAGAACACCGGUGGCGAAGGCGGCAACCUGGUCCUUGACUGACGCUGAGGCGCGAAAGCGUGGGGAGCAAACAGGAUUAGAUACCCCAGUAGUCCCUGUCUCUUAUAC